rnacentral:rRNA from 1 species
AUUGAACGCUGACGGCAUGCCUUACACAUGCAAGUCGAGGGGUAGAAGAGGCUUGCUUCUUUGAGACCGGCGCACGGGUGCGUAACGCGUAUGCAACCUACCUUCAUCUGGGGGAUAGCCCGGAGAAAUCCGGAUUAAUACCGCAUAAAAUCACAGGAUGGCAUUAUCCAAUGAUCAAACAUUUAUGGGAUGGAGAUGGGCAUGCGUGUCAUUAGCUAGUUGGCGGGGUAACGGCCCACCAAGGCGACGAUGACUAGGGGAUCUGAGAGGAUGGCCCCCCACACUGGUACUGAGACACGGACCAGACUCCUACGGGAGGCAGCAGUAAGGAAUAUUGGUCAAUGGAGGCAACUCUGAGCCAGCCAUGCCGCGUGCAGGAAGACUGCCCUAUGGGUUGUAAACUGCUUUUAUUCGGGAAUAAACCUUAUUACGUGUAAUAAGCUGAAUGUACCGAAGGAAUAAGGAUCGGCUAACUACGUGCCAGCAGCCGCCGUAA